rnacentral:miRNA from 1 species
ACGAGGGGUAUUCCACAAAAAAUUACCCUGAGGGAUGAAAUAUUCCGAGGGCGAAGACCGAGGAAUAUUUCAUCCCGCAGGGUAAUUUUUUGUGGAAUACCCCAA